rnacentral:rRNA from 1 species
AGCGGCGAACGGGUGAGUAACGCGUAGGAAUCUACCUAGUAGAAGGGGAUAGCCCGAGGAAACUCGGAUUAAUACCGUAUACGUCCUUAGGGAGAAAGAGGGCUUAGCUUUGAUGCUCUCGCUAUUAGAUGAGCCUGCGUAAGAUUAGCUUGUUGGUGAGGUAAAGGCUCACCAAGGCGACGACCUUUAGCUGGUCUGAGAGGACGAUCAGCCACAUUGGGACUGAGACACGGCCCAGACUCCUACGGGAGGCAGCAGUGGGGAAUAUUGGACAAUGGGCGCAAGCCUGAUCCAGCCAUACCGCGUGUGUGAAGAAGGCCUUCGGGUUGUAAAGCACUUUAAGUAAGGAAGAAAAGAGUAUUGUUAAUACCAAUACUCCGUGACAUUACUUACAGAAUAAGGACCGGCUAAUUCCGUGCCAGCAGCCGCGGUAAUACGGAAGGUCCAAGCGUUAAUCGGAAUUACUGGGCGUAAAGCGCGCGUAGGUGGUUUAUUAAGUUGGGUGUGAAAGCCCCGGGCUCAACCUGGGAACUGCAUCCAAUACUGAUUCACUAGAGUACGAAAGAGGAAAGUAGAAUUCACAGUGUAGCG